AAUUUUGGAAGUUUGUUCAUAGAUAUUUCUUCUAAAACAUUCAAAUGUAGGGUUCUAAUUCAUCUUCUUAUCUUUUCCAUCUCUUAAUUCAAUUCAUUCCAAACAAAACCAAAACAAUUUCUUUCUUCUUUCUUUCAAUUUCUCACCUCUCAACAAUGGCAUCCACCACAUUGGGCACUUCAAUAAAAACAAGAGGAGAUUCAUUUCCAAAUUUCAUUUUAUUUCCAAAUAAACCCUUAAGUCCCAAAGUAAGUAGUUUUGCUUUUCUAAAACGCGCCGCCCCCCGAGGGGUUGCGGCAACGUGGAGGACGGCGGAGCACGGUGGAGCAUUGGCAGCGGAGGAGGUGGAUGAGGAGAUGGGGAGGAUUCGGCGGCUGCAGAAUGGGUCAGACGUGAGAGGGGUGGCGAUCGAGGGGGAAAAGGGGAGGACGGUGGACUUGACGGCGGCAGCCGUGGAGGCGAUAGCGGAGAGUUUCGCGGAGUGGGUAAUCAAUGGGAUGGAAACGGGGCGGAGCGUGAGUGUUUCGGUCGGGAGAGACCCGAGAAUUUCCGGCAGUGCUUUGAGUGCUGCGGUGUUCGCCGGAGUUAGUAGGGCGGGGUGUUUGGUGUUUGAUAUGGGACUUGCCACCACGCCGGCGUGUUUCAUGAGCACCGUUUUGUCUCCUUUUUCUUAUGAUGCUUCUAUUAUGUUAACAGCAUCUCACUUACCGUAUACACGAAAUGGGAUGAAGUUUUUCACGAAGAGAGGAGGGUUAAGCUCGCCGGAGGUGGAGGAGAUAUGCGACAGAGCCGCCGUGAAGUACGCAAACAGAGUGGUCAAAGUCUCUACUCUUCUCCGAACGCCGCCGUCAAAGGUGGAUUUCAUGGGGGCUUAUUCAAAGCAUCUCAGAGAUAUCAUUAAGCAAAGAAUCAAUCAUCCUUUGCAUUAUGAUACUCCUCUCCAAGGAUUUAAGAUAAUAGUAAAUGCGGGUAACGGAUCCGGGGGCUUCUUCACGUGGGAUGUCUUAGACAAGCUGGGCGCAGACACCUUUGGCUCUCUCCAUCUCAACCCAGACGGCAUGUUCCCCAACCACAUCCCUAACCCAGAAGACAAAACCGCCAUGUCACUCACUCGAGCCAGCCUCCUCGACCACAAUGCCGACCUCGGUGUCGUCUUUGACACUGACGUUGACCGUAGUGGUGUCGUCGAUCACGAGGGCAACCCAAUCAAUGGUGACAAACUCAUCGCCCUAAUGUCGGCCAUCGUCCUUCGAGAGCACCCUGCCACCACCAUUGUCACCGACGCCCGUACCAGUGUUGCUCUCACAAAGUUCAUUACCAAUCGAGGUGGACGACAUUGUCUGUACCGUGUCGGGUAUCGGAAUGUGAUCGACAAAGGAAUCCAACUCAACAUGGAUGGAAUCGAGACGCAUCUCAUGAUGGAGACGUCGGGGCAUGGGGCACUUAAAGAGAAUUAUUUUUUGGAUGAUGGGGCUUAUAUGGUUGUGAAGAUUAUUAUUGAAAUGGUGAGAAUGAAACUAGAGGGAUCAAAUGAAGGGAUUGGUAGUCUUAUAAAGGAUCUUGAAGAACCUUUGGAGUCUGCGGAAUUGAGAUUGAAUGUGAUUUCUGAGCCAAGUUUUGCUAAAGAGAAGGCUGUGGAGGUUAUUGAGACAUUUAGGGACUUUGUCCAGGAAGGGAAGCUUGAGGGAUGGGAACUGGACUCAUGUGGAGAUUGUUGGGUGCAUGAAGGGUGCUUAGUGGACUUAAAUGACCAUCCCAAGCCUAUUGAUGCACAAAUGUACAGGUUAGAAUUAAAACUAAUCUUUCGUUAUUUUAAAUAGUUAAUACUAAAACAGUAAGACCUGUUUGUUUUUGGUUUUUAUAAUUAAACUUUCUUUCUCACUUUCUUACCCUAAUUUGUAUCAAUCUCAAAGUAGGGAAGUUGUACUUUGCUAGAUUCUAAAACUUAAAAUAAGUUUUUAAGAAUUAUUUUUCUAGACGCAGUUCUUCAAAAAAUAGAAGAAAAAAAAUUGACAAACUAUUUACACUCCAUAGAACAAUAAAAUUUGUUAUUCUUGAUUUUCUAUCAAGUGUAAAUAUUUUGUCAAAUGUUCUAUUUUUGACGAUGUUUCCUUUUAAAUUUUAACUUGUUUUUUAAAACAUUGAUAGAAAUUACAUAUCAAAAAGAAAAUUUAUAGAUAAAAGAAGUAUUUAUAUCCUUAAUUUUCAAAAAUAAAAAACAAAAACAAAAUGGAUAAAAAAUGUGACCACGAUUUUUUAAAUUUGGCUAAAAUUCAACUCUUAUACUUAAAGAAAUGAAAACCAUACAAAAAAAUUUUUAAAAAUAAACCUAAUUUUUAAAAAUGGAAAACAAAAAUUGGAUAUUUACUGGACGGACUGAAAACAUGUAUCAUUUGAUUUAUCAAAAUUUUAAAGGUCUCUUUUAAAAAGCAAUUGUAUUUUAGUCUUUACUAUCCUUUUCCCUCCCAUUAUCCAUGUGUUAAUGAAAUGUAGUACUGGUUAUGUUUAUUUUGUUGUUUUUAAUGUUAAAUGGCUUCUUAAUUAGUUUACAUUUGGAUCCUAUAGUUAGUAACUUUAAACUAUCAACGAAAUGUGACUAAACACUCAUAACAUGUCACAUAUCAAAAAAAAAUGUGUCAGGUAAAAAAAACGAUAGAAUAUCUAUACAAAAACAAGGCUAGGAUUUAAUGGAGAAGCUGGUCUUGGAUCAAGAUGUGGGGGUAAAAUUGUAUUGGUCAAAGGGAGGAUGGCGAUAAUGAAAUGGAAAUUGCUUUUGUUGGUCCAAAGGUUGGAGGAGGUACUUGCAUAUUAGACUCGUAGACAUGUGGUAAGGAGAGGAUGUAGAAAGAGAGGAAUAAGAAGGGGAAUAAAACAAGGAGGAAUAAUGGUGGUAGAAGAAGAGGAGAGAAGGGGAGACAAAGGAAAAAUGUAUUCAUAAAAGAUAAUAGAGAUAAUGGAUUCGUGAAAAUGUAUACUAUAGCAAAUUUAACCUUUCAAAUCUAGAGUGUAACCAAGAAACCAUGUUGAGUUAUUUUAGGUUCAAGCUUAUGUCUGUUUGUAUGGCUUGAGUAGCUUGAGUAAAGGAUAACAAGCACAUCCAACAACAUCCAAAAACUUUUAAAUGCAAUAAAAUUAGGAGUGGUUCCAAACGUUUUUUCAAAAAAAAAAAAAACAUAUUCAAGGAAGAGGUUGAUAUUCCGUUAGUUAAAAAAAGAAAUAGCUAUAGAAAAAGCAUAAGACCAAAAUUCAAUUAGAAUGGGCGAGUGACUAUGUAAGGACAUGACAAUUUCGACAUAGUUACCAAAAUUCAAAAUAGUUAAUUACUAUUUCCUCACCGAUUAUAAUCAUUGGAAAAGUGAAGGUUCACCAUUCCAUUUGUCAUAUGUAUGUUACAACCAUUGUCAAAUAGCCAAUAGUUAUUAGUAAAAAGUAUAGAUGGAUUACUCGUAUAUGCUACCAUAGCAACAAAUUGGGUUAGGGAAUGUCAUCCUUGGACUCGCAAUUAAGAUUAGUAUGACCAUGUUUGGUGCAAAUUUGGCAGAAGACAUGGCUACUGUUUGAUCGAGAGAAAUUAGCUCGAUAUACUAGGUUGAGAAUUAAAAGACUCAUUUGAUUGAGCAGGUUCACAAUUUGUGCUGAAAUUAGAAGGCAAAAAAUUGGAUCCAUUUGAGUUGAAAGUAGAGUUUGAAAAAGAACCCCUUAAGUUGCGUCCUCCUCCACGCAACGUUGCGUCCUCCUCCACGCAAGCGCCCUUUCCCUCUUUCUUUAGAUGGUGCAAAUCUUCUUCCUCCUUUAGUUGGUUGGUGCAUUGAUGCAGAUUGGAAAGGGAUCAUGGCAAUCGAUGUACUAGAUUUGAGCAUCAACGGGAUAAGGAUAAUUGAUUUUUCUUCAGCGUCGAGGAGCACUUCGAGUUCAAAAAGGAAGAGUGUCGUAUCUCGUGUUCGAAUGGAUGUUAGAAAAACAUUAAAUUAAAAGGGAAGGAUAUUUAGGAUACGUAAUAGUGUUUCUUCAUCCUUAACCUUUACUCCAGCAAAGGUGAUUAACGAGGAAUUACACUUUUUAGAAGUACUGCUCUCAACGCUCUCAUUUUUUACGAUUAAUUGUGCAUAUCAGAGUACAAGCAACCUUGUACAAGUUUUAGAGGAAUGUCGAUUUUUCAAGGCUGAUCCACAGCUCACGAUCAGCAGUCACAGAGAUGAUAUCUGUAACAAAUUAAUAAGCUAGAUACAUUAUGGAUAACACAUUCCUAAAUACAAUUCUAAUUUCAAGAUGUAAGCAUUUCUAGAUACAUGUAAUUCUUCAAGUACAUGAAUAGUGUAUAUGCAUCUACUUCAUUUAUUUUGUGUCUUUUAGGAAGUGUCAUUUGAGUACUAUAUAAAAAGUUCAUUUGCUUCCAUUUGUAUACAAGAAAAAAAAUCAAAUCAAUGGAAGCAAAUUGAAGCUUAUAAAGAAAGUGAAUUUCAAGAGAACAAUAUUCUUCUCUUGUGUGUUCUUGAGUUUUCUAAGUGAACAAGUUUCUUCUCUUAAAAGUUCGUGAGAUUUAGAGUAAAUUUAGAGUGAGCUUGUCAACACUUCCAACAAAUUUGCAUCAGAGUAGAGGAUUGAAAGAUUUCAUCUAACAUGUUGCAGACUCACAACUUCCUCGCUUUAAGGGAAAAAACUAUAGAUGGUGGAUCCAAUAAAUGAAGGUUCUUUAUGGAUCUCAAGAUCUUUGGUAUAUUGUUGACAAAGAAUAUUUUUGAGCUAGAAAGUGAGAAUAGUCUUUCACCACAACAACUCAAAGAGUUAAAGAUGCAUUGUAGAAUUUGUAUGAAGGAGAAGAAAAAGUAAAAUUGGUAUGAUUGCGAACACUUCGAGCUGAAUUUGAUACCAUUUGAAUGAAAGAUGCUGAAACUAUUAAAGAAUAUUUCAACAUUGUUCUCUUAAUUGUUAAUCAAUUGAGAUCAAAUAAAGAAACAAUUGAAGAUCAAAGGGUGGUUGAAAAGAUCCUUGAAGCAUGACUAGAAGAUAUGAGCAUAUUGUUAUAGCAAUUGAAGAAUCCAAAGGUUUGUCAACUCUCUCCAUCACUAGCUUAAUGGGAUCUCUUCAAUCUCAUCGGCCUAGAUUGAAGUUGUUUGAUUCUACUCCUUUAGAAGAAGCUUUUUAUAUGCAAUCCUCCUAUAGAGGGCGAUCUGGUGGAAGAAGAGGUGAACGUGGCAGUAGAGGAAAUGGAGGAUCCAACGUUGUAACAAAUAAGGUAUCAGAGAGUAGAGUCAAUCAAUCUUCUUCAAAUAGAGGAUAAGGAAGAACUUCAAAUAGAGGAGGAGGCAGAAGUGAUGGUCGUGGAGAUUUUUCUCACAUAUAAUGUUCGAUGUAGGUGUUAUAUAGACAUUUUCAAGCAGAUUGUUGGUCUAAGAAGGGUAAUUCUAAUCAAGCAGAAAUCACUCUAAUGCAUGAGCAACAGGAUAAUGAUUAAGGUAUUCUCUUUCUCACAUUCAACGUCCAAGAAACAAGCACCGAAGAAACAUGGUAUCUUGAUAAUGGUUGUAGUAACCACAUUACAAGAAGAAAGAAUAUUUUUAUAUCUUUAAAUGAAUCUCAUCAAAAUGUAGAGAAGAUUGGUGAACAAAAGAAGCUUGAAGUCAAAUGAAAAUGAGAUAUUCUUGUCAAGACAAAAAAAAAUGGAACAAAAAAUAAUUACUGAUGUAUAUUAUGUUUCAAAGCUCAAACACAAUCUUUUAAGUGUUGGACAACUUAUCUUAAGAGGAUAUGAUGUUAUCUUUAAAGAUAACAUAUGUUAGAUUAGAACCAAGAACGGAGAUCUUAUAACAAAGGUUCACAUGAUUCACAACAAAAUGUUUCCAAUUAAAAUAAGCUAUGAGAAGCUUGUAAGACUUUAAUAAAUGACUCUUUAUGGUUGUGGCAAUGUCGAUUUGGGCACCUGAGUUUUAACACUUUGUCUCACAUAUGUCAACAACAUAUGGUGAGAGGAAUGCCAUAUAUUAAAAUGAAAGCAUCAUCGAAAUCCAUUUCUGACUGGAGAUUCUUGGAGAGCAUCAAAAUCUCUCGAGCUUGUCCAUACAAACUUAUGUGGACCCAUGAAAACUACUAUACAUGGAGGUAACCGUUAUUUUCUCACAUUUAUUGAUGACUACAGUCGAAAAACAUGGAUUUAUCUGCUAAAAUAAAAGAGCGCUACUUUAAAAUGUUUCAAGACAUUCAAAGCAAUGGUGGAAAAUGAAAGUAGCUUGAAAUUGAAAUCAUUGUGUUUAGAUCAUGGAGGAGAAUAUAUUGCUUUUGUAGAUUUCUUGAAGGAAAAUGGAAUCAAGCAUCAGAAGAUUGUUCGAAGAACUCCUCAACAAAACCAAGUUGUAGAGAGGAAAACAAAAUAAUAAUGGAACUUGCAAGAAGUAUGUUGAAGGCUGAGAAGCUUCCAAAUCAAUUUUGGGAAGAUGUAGUAACUUGUGUUGUUUAUCUCUUAUAUCGAACUUCAACUAAAGCAAUGCAAGGUAAUACUCCUCAAGAAGCAUGGAGCAGAUUGAAACCAACUGUUAGUCACCUAAGAGUGUUUGGGUCCAUUGCUUACUCUCAUAUUUCAAAUGAGAAAAGAGGUAAGCUAGAUGAUAAAUCAAAAAAAUGCAUUUUUGUUGGGUACAAUGAGAACUCCAAAGCUUACAAAUUGUACAACCCUAUAAGUAAGAAAGUUAUUAUAAGUCGAGAUGUCAAGUUUGAUGAAGCAAAAAUUUGGCGGUUGGAUGCACCAAAUGAAGACUAGAAUCCAUUACUUCUUGAUAUAGAUGGCAAAGAAGAUGCUUAAGAGUUGAAGCUUGAAGAGACUCAACCACUGACUUACCUUCUUCAUCACACUCCAUAAGUGAUGAAGAAACUACUCCAAGGAAGACAAGAAAUAUUCAAGAGAUCUAUAAUACUUCAAGAAGAAUACUAGAUGAUGAACAUUCUGAUUUUGCUUUAUUUCAGAUGUUGAUCCUAUAUAUUUUGAAGAAGAAAUUCAAGAUGAAAAAUGGAAAGAUGUAAAGGAUCAAGGAAGAAACAAGGCAUGGGAGUUAGUAAAAUUACAAAAAAAAAUAGAAAAGCUCUUGGAGUCAAAUGAAUCUAUAGAACAAAGCUAAAGCAAAAUGGACAGGUGAAGAAAUACAAGGUCAGACUCGUCGUAAAAGUUUACAAACAAAAGUUUGGUGUGGAUUAUGAAGAAGUUUUUGCACCAAUAACUUGCUUGGAGACUGUUCAUUUGUUGUUAGCCCUUGUAGUAAAAAUGAUUGGAAAGUUCAUUUAGUGGAUGUCAAGUCAGCAUCUUUAAAUGGGUAUUUAGAGGAUAAAAUAUAUAUUCAGCAGCCUUCCGAUUAUGCUAAGAUUGGAUAAGAAAAUGAGGUGUGUCAAUUGAAGAAAGCAUUGUAUGGGCUAAAGCAAGCACCGAGAGCUUGGUACAGCCGCAUCGACAAUUUUUUCUUGAAGGAUGGUUUUAGAAGAUGUCCAUAUGAACAUGCUCUCUACACCAAAGAAGACGAAAAUGUUUCAUGGGCAUCAAAGAAGCAAUGUCGUAGCAUUGUCCACAAUGGAAGCUGAAUACAUCUCUUUGUCUACAACUAGUUGUCAAGCACUUUGGCUAAGAAAGGUACUAUAUAAAUUAAAGGGACCAUCAUGUUCUGUGACAUUCAAUCAUCUAUUUCACUUUCGAAGAAUCCAGUUUUUCAUGGAAGAAGCAAACACAUAAAGAUCAAGUAUCAUUUCAUCAAAGAAUGAAUCAAAGAUGAGAAGUGUAUAUGAAGUAUUGCAAGACAUGAGACCAAGUUGCAGACAUAUUCACAAAAGCAUUAAAGACAGACUCAUUCUUGAAAAUGAAAGAGAAGCUCGGAGUCUAGGAAGUCUAGCUUAAGGGGGCAUGUCAGAAAUUAAUAAGCUAAAUACAUUCUGGGUAACAUAUUCAAGAUACAUUUCUAAUUUCAAGAUACAUGCAUUUCUAGAUACAUGUAAUUGUUCAAGUACAUGCACACAUACCAUUCAUGUACUUGAUGGUAUGUAUGCAUGUACUUCAUUUAUUUUAUGUCUCUUAGGAAGUGCCUCUUGAGUACUAUAUAAAGAGUUUAUUUCCUUCAUUUGUAUACAAGAAAAAAAAGAAUCAAAUCAAUAGAAGCAAAUUGAAGUUUUAUAAAUAAA